rnacentral:lncRNA from 1 species
CACGAAAUCCACAUGAUUUUUUUAAUUUUAUUUUUUUAAUGAUAAAAUUGGUGAAUACUAUUAACAACAUACAUGUGGGCUGUAUUUGAACAACUACAACUUCUUCUUCUUCUUGAACUGCGACCGAAUUAUUCUUCUAUCCUAAUCUUUUGCAACACAUCUUCAUGAGGAGAGUGACCCAUAAACGUAUAAAUCAGAUGAGAUUGCUCCUGCUGCAAUCGUUACACUCAUUCGUGCGUGAUCAUGCGAUUUCAUGCUUCUUCUGCUGAACCGAUUCUCUGA